UUCGAAGUCCGAAGAACUGCCAGAUGACAGUACCAGUUACAUAGACUACAAGAACAUAUUGGUAUGAGCUACAGAUUGGCUUUAUGCCCAAACAUCUUCUGAAGGGUAAACAAAGAUUACCAUCGCACAUCUGCUGGGACUGGAACCAGUGCAGGCUGACUCAGAGAGCUAAUGCUAAUGGGAGGGAACGCUAGCCUCCCUGGAGCUCAUGGCACCAAAGCACAAGCUGGAGUGCUGUAAGUAAAGGAAAUGAUAACAGCCAGGGAGGCUGAGAGGUUUUAAAUAACAAACUCUCAAGAGCUUUAGAGAAGAAGAGAGUAAGCCACCAACAAAGACAGAGAAACGAGCGAAGCUGGAGGUUUUCAAUCCCAUGGCACAUGCCUCUGAAGUGUAAAGGACUGAAUUGCAUGCGUGGAAAGAACAAGCAGUACAUAUGGAGGGCCAGUGUCAGCCUCAUGUACCCCCCCCCCCCCCCCCCCCCCGCACUGUUGUUCAAAGGCGUAAAUCAUAAA